rnacentral:rRNA from 1 species
UACGGAGGGGACUAGCGUUGUUCGGAAUUACUGGGCGUAAGGGCGCGUAGGCGGCCUUCUAAGUCAGACGUGAAAUCCCUCGGCUCAACCGGGGAACUGCGUCUGAGACUGGAAGGCUUGAAUCCGGGAGAGGGAUGUGGAAUUCCAGGUGUAGCGGUGAAAUGCGUAGAUAUCUGGAGGAACACCGGUGGCGAAGGCGGCAUCCUGGACCGGUAUUGACGCUGAGGCGCGAAAGCCAGGGGAGCAAAGCGGG